rnacentral:rRNA from 1 species
CCUACGGGGGGCAGCAGUGGGGAAUAUUGGACAAUGGGCGAAAGCCUGAUCCAGCCAUGCCGCGUGUGUGAAGAAGGCCUUCGGGUUGUAAAGCACUUUCAGUGGGGAAGAAAGCCUUGGGGCUAAUACCCUCGAGGAAGGACAUCACCCACAGAAGAAGCACCGGCUAACUCCGUGCCAGCAGCCGCGGUAAUACGGAGGGUGCGAGCGUUAAUCGGAAUUACUGGGCGUAAAGCGCGCGUAGGCGGUCUGAUAAGCCGGUUGUGAAAGCCCCGGGCUCAACCUGGGAACAGCAUCCGGAACUGUCAGGCUAGAGUGCAGGAGAGGAAGGUAGAAUUCCCGGUGUAGCGGUGAAAUGCGUAGAGAUCGGGAGGAAUACCAGUGGAGAAGGCGGCCUUCUGGACUGACACUGACGCUGAGGUGCGAAAGCGUGGGUAGCAAACAGGAUUAGAUACCCCAGUAGUC